rnacentral:rRNA from 1 species
UACCGCGGUUAUACGAGAGACCCGAGUUGAUAAAUACCGGCGUAAAGAGUGGUUAGAAGUAAAACAAACACUAGAGUCAAACAUAUACAGAGCAGUUAUACGCUCCCGAAUACAGGAAGAACAUUCACGAAAGUGACUCUACAACACUUGAGCCCACGAAAGCUAAGAUA